rnacentral:ncRNA from 2 species
AGAGUUAAACAGUGCGUGAAAUUGUUGAAAGGGAAACGUUUGAAACCAGUCAUGCGGAUGGGAAAUCAGUCUUUUGGAGCUGGGGGUGGUGGAGGUUCAGACCGUAAGGCUGGCCUUUAUCUCAUCUCAGUUCUAAUGGAUGCACUUUUUCAUUUGCAGGUCAACAUCAGUUUCAUCUGCUGGACAAAACUCCGAGAGAAGGUAGCAGCUUUGGCUGUGUUAUAGCUCUGGAGCGAUACAGUGGAGGGGACUGAGGUUUGGCAGUGUGUGCUCUCGGGCAAGGUUAACUGGGUGCUAUGUGAUCGUUCGGCGUACAAUGCAUGCAUUUUGCGCUGUGUCUUUUGCAUACUCGCUCAGCUUAACUCUUCCACGCUAAGGAUGUUGACUUAAUGGUUUUAAACGACC